rnacentral:pre_miRNA from 1 species
UGGACGAGGAGCGGCAUCGAGGAAGAGGCCACCUCCGCGCCCGAUGCCUGCCUCGUCCUCC